UGUCGAAGUAAUUGAACUUACGUGAAUGUGGAGUCAACUACUCCUUCCUUUUUGUCUUUCUCAAUUCUGAUCAAGAAGGCGUCAACAUAAUCAUCGCCUUCCUCACUUAUCACA
rnacentral:snoRNA from 1 species